rnacentral:rRNA from 1 species
AGCGAACGCUGGCGGCAGGCCUAACACAUGCAAGUCGAACGAACUCUUCGGAGUUAGUGGCGGACGGGUGAGUAACACGUGGGAACGUGCCUUUUGGUUCGGAAUAACUCAGGUAAACUUGUGCUAAUACCGAAUGUGCCCUUCUGGGGAAAGAUUUAUCGCCAUUAGAGCGGCCCGCGUCUGAUUAGCUAGUUGGUGAGGUAACGGCUCACCAAGGCGACGAUCAGUAGCUGGUCUGAGAGGAUGACCAGCCACACUGGGACUGAGACACGGCCCAGACUACUACGGGAGGCAGCAGUGGGGAAUCUUGCGAAAUGGGCGAAAGCCUGACGAAGCCAUGCCGCGUGAAUGAUGAAGGUCUUAGGAUUGUAAAAUUCUUUCACCGGGGACGAUAAUGACGGUACCCGGAGAAGAAGCCCCGGCUAACUUCGUG